rnacentral:rRNA from 1 species
CCUACGGGAGGCAGCAGUGGGGGAUAUUGCACAAUGGGGGGAACCCUGAUGCAGCGACGCCGCGUGGGUGAAGGAGUGCUUCGGCAUGUAAAGCCCUAUCGGCAGGGAAGAAGCAAGACGGUACCUGACUAAGAAGCCCCGGCUAACUACGUGCCAGCAGCCGCGGUAAUACGUAGGGGGCGAGCGUUAUCCGGAUUCACUGGGUGUAAAGGGAGCGUAGACGGCCAUGCAAGCCAGGGGGGAAAGCCCGGGGCCCAACCCCGGGACUGCCCUUGGAACUGCAUGGCGGGAGUGCGGGAGGGGGAGGCGGAAUUCCUGGGGUAGCGGGGAAAUGCGUAGAUAUCAGGAGGAACACCGGCGGCCAAGGCGGCCUGCUGGACCGCGACUGACGUUGAGGCUCGAAAGCGUGGGGAGCGAACAGGAUUAGAUACCCUUGUAGUC